GAACAUUCCUAGUGUUUGGAAGUAGCUUCUGCCAGAUGGGUUCCAUGCCUGCCAGAAUGUGUUCUGAGGCUCAGGCAGGACAGAGGCAUUCUGGGAAAUGGUGUACCAGGAAUUGCCAUCUAACAGUGAAACAGAAAGCAGCCUGAAGGUGAUUGCUCCACAAGCCGCAGCAAAGAAGCAGGGACAGUAAUCUCUGACUGAAUAAUGAGUCCCCAUCACCUCUAUACUGAACAGAACGCCUAUGAUGUAGCCUACUAAAGGAUAUCAUGGACCACUGUGACGUCAACUCACCGCUGACUGGAGCCCCAAAACAGCUCGCGACGCCCACUGCUGACGCCGCAACCAGCAUUUCUCCUUUAGCUGCUCUCUGUGAAUGAACAGAGCCACAAGAGUCAUCAGCAUAAGUGGCCUUCUAUACAAUUUCCAUCUGG